GGCAGACGGGUGAGUAACGCGUGGGAAUAUACCUUUCCGUACGGAACAACAGUUGGAAACGAGUGCUAAUACCGUAUGCGCCUAUGGGGGAAAGAUUUAUCGCCGAAGGAUUAGCCCGCGUAGGAUUAGCUAGUUGGUGGGGUAAAGGCCUACCAUGGCGACGAUCCAUAGCUGGUCUGAGAGGAUGAAUCAGCCACACUGGGACUGAGACACGGCCCAGACUCCUACGGGAGGCAGCAGUGGGGAAUAUUGGAAAAUGGGGGCACCCUGAUCCAGCCAUGCCGCGUGAGUGAUGAAGGCCCUACGGUUGUAAAGCUCUUUCAGCGAGGAGGAUAAUGACGUUACUCCCAGAAGAAGCCCCGGCUAACUUCGAUGCCAGCAGCCGCGGUAAUACGAAGGGGCUAGCGUUGUUCGGAAUCACUGGGCGUAAAGCGCACGUAGGCGGAUUGGUCACUUAGGGGUGAAAUCCCAGAGCUCAACUCUGGAACUGCCUUUAAUUACUGCCAGUCUUGAGUCCGAGAGAGGUGAGUGGAACUCCGAGUGUAGAGGUGAAAUUCUUAGAUAUUCGGAAGAACACCAGUGGCGAAGCCGGCUCA
rnacentral:rRNA from 1 species